rnacentral:rRNA from 1 species
UACGUAGGGUGCAAGCGUUGUCCGGAAUUAUUGGGCGUAAAGAGCUUGUAGGCGGUUUGUCGCGUCUGCUGUGAAAUUUCGGGGCUCAACCCCGGACUUGCAGUGGGUACGGGCAGACUAGAGUGUGGUAGGGGAGACUGGAAUUCCUGGUGUAGCGGUGAAAAUGCGCAGAUAUCAGGAGGAAUACCUAUGGCGAAAGCAGGUAUCUGGGCCAUCACUGACGCUGAGCUGCGAAAGCUAGGGGAGCAAACAGG